rnacentral:piRNA from 1 species
UCCAGGGUGUUGUGUGCAUGUGCUCA